GGAGGGGGCUAGCGUUGUUCGGAAUUACUGGGCGUAAAGGGCGCGUAGGCGGCCAAUUAAGUUAGGUGUGAAAGCCCCAGGCUCAACCUGGGAACUGCGCUUAAUACUGGUUGGCUUGAGUUCGGUAGAGGGAAAUGGAAUCCUAGUGUAGAGGUGAAAUUCGUAGAUAUUAGGAAGAACACCAGAGGCGAAGGCGAUUUCCUGGGCCGAUACUGACGCUGAGGCGCGAAAGCGUGGGGAGCAAACAGGAUUAGAUACCCUGGGUAGUCCACGCUGUAAACGAUGAAUGCUAGACGUCGGCAGUUUAUCUGUCGGUGUCGCAGCUAACGCAAUAAGCAUUCCGCCUGGGGACUACGAUCGCAAGAUUA
rnacentral:rRNA from 1 species